rnacentral:rRNA from 1 species
GACGAACGCUGGCGGCGUGCCUAAUACAUGCAAGUUGAGCGAUGAAGCUUGGUGCUUGCACCCAUUUGAAGAGCAGCGAACGGGUGAGUAACGCGUGGGGAAUCUGCCUUUGAGCGGGGGACAACAUUUGGAAACGAAUGCUAAUACCGCAUAACAACUUUAAACAUAAGUUUUAAGUUUGAAAGAUGCAAUUGCAUCACUCAAAGAUGAUCCCGCGUUGUAUUAGCUAGUUGGUGAGGUAAAGGCUCACCAAGGCGAUGAUACAUAGCCGACCUGAGAGGGUGAUCGGCCACAAUGGGACUGAGACACGGCCCAAACUCCUACGGGAGGCAGCAGUAGGGAAUCUUCGGCAAUGGACGAAAGUCUGACCGAGCAACGCCGCGUGAGUGAAGAAGGUUUUCGGAUCGUAAAACUCUGUUGGUAGAGAAGAACGUUGGUGAGAGUGGAAAGCUCAUCAAGUGACGGUAACUACCCAGAAAGGGACGGCUAACUACGUG